GACGAACGCUGGCGGCGUGCUUAACACAUGCAAGUCGAACGGAAAGGCCCUGCUUUUGUGGGGUGCUCGAGUGGCGAACGGGUGAGUAACACGUGAGUAACCUGCCCUUGACUUUGGGAUAACUUCAGGAAACUGGGGCUAAUACCGGAUAGGAGCUCCUGCUGCAAGGUGGGGGUUGGAAAGUUUCGGCGGUUGGGGAUGGACUCGCGGCUUAUCAGCUUGUUGGUGGGGUAGUGGCUUACCAAGGCUUUGACGGGUAGCCGGCCUGAGAGGGUGACCGGCCACAUUGGGACUGAGAUACGGCCCAGACUCCUACGGGAGGAAGCAGUGGGGAAUAUUGCACAAUGGGCGGAAGCCUGAUGCAGCAACGCCGCGUGCGGGAGGACGGCCUUCGGGUUGUAAACCGCUUUCGCCUGUGACGAAGCGUGAGUGACGGUAAUGGGUAAAGAAGCACCGGCUAACUACGU
rnacentral:rRNA from 1 species